CCCUUCGCUUUCUGAGGAAGGGUCUGGGGACACUCAAGGCUUUUUUGUUGCAUUGCGCUGGAAUGUUGGCGCACCAAUCAGAUUGCUCCAAACACAUGAAGACAGGUAGAAUUUAAAGGAGCUUCAUGAGGUCUGAGGUUCAAAGAGAAGUCAAGAAGGAACAGAAAUGGGUCUCACAAAGCCUGUUAUCGAUAUUUAGGAUAAUUUUUGUGCCUGCUGACAGGGUUCAGUGCCAAACAAAAUGUCAAUCACUACUUUGGCUCAGUACUGUAUUAUGUCCUCUGGAAAAUAAGUUCUGGAACAGAAAAACUCUUCCUUCGUCCCCUGGUCAAUGACUAAAGCUAGUGAGUUUGCCUCUUGAUGAACAACAAGUUAAGAAAUGUAUUAUAGGAGUACAUACUGUU